AUGAACGCUAGCGACAGGCCUAACACAUGCAAGUCGAGGGGCAGCACAAGGAGCAAUCUGAGGUGGCGACCGGCGCACGGGUGAGUAACACGUAUGCAACCUGCCUGUAAGCGGGGAAUAACCCGUUGAAAGACGGACUAAUACCGCAUAAUACUAAAUUACUGCAUGGUAAUUUAUUUAAACAUUUAUGGCUUACAGAUGGGCAUGCGCAUGAUUAGCUAGUUGGAGAGGUAACGGCUCCCCAAGGCAACGAUCAUUAGGGGUUCUGAGAGGAAGGUCCCCCACACUGGUACUGAGACACGGACCAGACUCCUACGGGAGGCAGCAGUGAGGAAUAUUGGUCAAUGGACGAGAGUCUGAACCAGCCAAGUCGCGUGCAGGAAGAAUGUUCCCUAUGGAUUGUAAACUGCUUUUGCAGGGGAAUAAAGUGCAUCACGUGUGAUGUUUUGUAUGUACUCUGCGAAUAAGGAUCGGCUAACUCCGUGCCAGCCGCAGC
rnacentral:rRNA from 1 species